CCCCUUUGGGACUACGUCGGUACGGCGCACACACUUCUUCCGGAAGCCCAACAUUUCGUGAAAGUCGCUCCUCCUUUCCAACCAUCGAUUAUUGACGGUCGACACUGCAAUGAGCGUCUUCUUCGUGGCCGAUUGAGGCACGGUCGUCGGCGCCAUUAUGCCUCCCACGUUCGCAAUUAGCCUUAAUGACCCGCAUUUCGCGUGCGUCCGCCAACCUAUUCAAUCUACACUUUCGGGGCCCGAGUUGGACCCUUAACGUAAAUUUUGACAGGUCGAUCUCAGAACAUCUCCCCCCAUCUUAAGGUCCACAUCGCCACUUUACGCAUCUCUAGACCUCCUUAUGGCCACCGCUUCCGCCGGGGACCUGUUCUGACUGCGAGUCCACGCUUUCGCACCCCUCGUUGUCCUAAUCUAUGGACCAUCAGGUGCGGCAUUUGCUACAGCUAAACCUCCGACANAGGAACUCUGCACGAAGGCCUCGAUUG
rnacentral:rRNA from 1 species